rnacentral:rRNA from 1 species
GACGAACGCUGGCGGCGUGCUUAACACAUGCAAGUCGAACGGAAAGGCCCUGCUUUUGUGGGGUGCUCGAGUGGCGAACGGGUGAGUAACACGUGAGUAACCUGCCCUUGACUUUGGGAUAACUUCAGGAAACUGGGGCUAAUACCGGAUAGGAGCUCCUGCUGCAUGGUGGGGGUUGGAAAGUUUCGGCGGUUGGGGAUGGACUCGCGGCUUAUCAGCUUGUUGGUGGGGUAGUGGCUUACCAAGGCUUUGACGGGUAGCCGGCCUGGGAGGGUGACCGGCCUCAUUGGGACUGAGAUACGGCCCAGACUCCUACGGGAGGCAGCAGUGGGGAAUAUUGCGCAAUGGGCGGAAGCCUGAUGCAGCAACGCCGCGUGCGGGAUGACGGCCUUCGGGUUGUAAACCGCUUUCGCCUGUGACGAAGCGUGAGUGACGGUAAUGGGUAAAGAAGCACCGGCUAACUACGUG